rnacentral:lncRNA from 1 species
UUGUUCUGAUUAUUAUUAUUAUUAUUUUUUUUUUUUUUUUUCUUCCGCCUAAUUUUUUUUCUUGCGUAGUAUUGUUGUUUAAUAAGUUGUCGCUUAGAUAUUUGGAAUAUGAUGUCGUAUAGUUUAUACGCUUUAAAAAUUGACAACUGCGUAACAAAAUACUUUAUGUUGUAAGAGUUAUCUCCCCAAACACUGUUUUUCUUGUGGCCACUACUCCUUCGCAACCGUAAAAGAUUACGACAAAUUUAUUUUACCAAAUUGCUCGUUACUUCUUCAGGAUUAGGAUAUUCAUUUGAACCGAAGCUAUCUGGAGACUCCAUAUGAGAGUUAUUUCCCCUUAUGCAUUUGAUAUAAGUGAUAUGCGUUUCUAACUGGUAAACCAUCAGUGAUAUAGGCCUAGGGUCUUUGGAUUUAAGUUCCUUGGUCCAAAAAAAUGAAAAUAAGGUCAAGGUCAAAGGUCAAGGUCAUAUUCUAAAUUUUGAUUUUGGCUUAUUUUCUCUUAUUUUCAACAACCGUGAAAGAUAUUGAAAAAUUAUUUUUACUGAAUUGUGAGUUGCGACAUGUUGUAUCUUAUAUUUGGUGGAAGGUGCUAAACAAUAAAUGAGAGUUUUCGCCCAUCUUAUAUUUAAAAUCAUGCCUAAAGUAAUAUAACUCAUUAAUCAUACAAAUUACAGACUUAGGGUCUUUUUAUUUGAGGUCCUUUGUUGGUGACCUUGAAAUUGAAGGUCAAGGUCACAGGUUAAUAGGACGUUCUAGAUUU